CGGCGCAUGCUUUCGGGCGCCAUGCCCGCGGGAUUUGACUGACUGAGUGCCAGCAGCCGCGGGUGGGGCAGAUGGUUGGGGUGAAGUCGUAACAAGGUAACCUCAGCUCAGUCACAGUCGUAACAAGGUAACCUCAGUCAGUCAAGUCGUAACAAGGUAACCUCAGUCAGUCAAGUCGUAACAAGGUAACCUCAGUCAGUCAAGUCGUAACAAGGUAGCCUCUGUCAGUCAAUAAAUAA
rnacentral:rRNA from 1 species